GACGAACGCUGGCGGCGUGCUUAACACAUGCAAGUCGAACGGAAAGGCCCUGCUUGCAGGGUACUCGAGUGGCGAACGGGUGAGUAACACGUGGGUGAUCUGCCCUGCACUUCGGGAUAAGCCUGGGAAACUGGGUCUAAUACCGGAUAGGAGCCAUUUUUAGUGUGAUGGUUGGAAAGUUUUUUCGGUGUAGGAUGAGCUCGCGGCCUAUCAGCUUGUUGGUGGGGUAAUGGCCUACCAAGGCGGCGACGGGUAGCCGGCCUGAGAGGGUGGACGGCCACAGUGGGACUGAGAGACGGCCCAGACUCCUACGGGAGGCAGCAGUGGGGAAUAUUGCACAAUGGGCGCAAGCCGGAUGCAGCGACGCCGCGUGGGGGAUGACGGCCUUCGGGUUGGAAACUCCUUUCGCUAGGGACGAAGCUUUUUGUGACGGUACCUAGAGAAGAAGCACCGGCUAACUACGUG
rnacentral:rRNA from 1 species